rnacentral:rRNA from 1 species
GAUGAACGCUGGCGGCGUGCUUAACACAUGCAAGUCGAGCGAAGCGCUUUGGCGGAUUUCUUCGGAUUGAAGCCUUGGUGACUGAGCGGCGGACGGGUGAGUAACGCGUGGGUAACCUGCCUCAUACAGGGGGAUAACAGUUGGAAACGACCGCUAAUACCGCAUAAGCGCACAGUACCGCAUGGUACGGUGUGAAAAACUCCGGUGGUAUGAGAUGGACCCGCGUCUGAUUAGGUAGUUGGUGGGGUAACGGCCUACCAAGCCGACGAUCAGUAGCCGACCUGAGAGGGUGACCGGCCACAUUGGGACUGAGACACGGCCCAAACUCCUACGGGAGGCAGCAGUGGGGAAUAUUGCACAAUGGGGGAAACCCUGAUGCAGCGACGCCGCGUGAGCGAAGAAGUAUUUCGGUAUGUAAAGCUCUAUCAGCAGGGAAGAAGAUGACGGUACCUGACUAAGAAGCACCGGCUAAAUACGUGCCAGCAGCCGCGGUAAUACGUAUGGUGCAAGCGUUAUCCGGAUUUACUGGGUGUAAAGGGAGCGUAGACGGUUGUGUAAGUCUGAUGUGAAAGCCCGGGGCUCAACCCCGGGACUGCAUUGGAAACUAUGUAACUAGAGUGUCGGAGAGGUAAGCGGAAUUCCUAGUGUAGCGGUGAAAUGCGUAGAUAUUAGGAGGAACACCAGUGGCGAAGGCGGCUUACUGGACGAUCACUGACGUUGAGGCUCGAAAGCGUGGGNAGCANACAGG